GCGACCCCAGGUCAGGCGGGGAAUCCCAAA
rnacentral:rRNA from 1 species